GAUGAACGCUAGCGGCAGGCCUAAUACAUGCAAGUCGAACGGUGUCUUCGGACAUAGUGGCGCACGGGUGCGUAACACGUAUGCAACCUACCUUACAUUGGGGGAUAGCCUUUCGAAAGGGAGAUUAAUACCGCAUAAGACAGUAGCUGGGCAUCCAGUAGCUGUUAAAGAUUUAUCGAUGUAAGCUGGGCAUGCGUCCAAUUAGUUAGUUGGUGAGGUAACGGCUCACCAAAACGAUGAUUGGUAGGGGAACUGAGAGGUCAAUCCCCCACACUGGCACUAAGAUACGGGCCGGACUCCUACGGGAGGCAGCAGUAGGGAAUAUUGGGCAAUGGACGCAAGUCUGACCCAGCCAUGCCGCGUGCAGGAAGAAGGCGUUCUGCGUUGUAAACUGCUUUUAUAUAGGAAGAAACGACCCUUGCGAGGGGCAUUGACGGUAUUAUAUGAAUAAGCACCGGCUAACUCCGUGCCAGCAGCCGCCGUAAUAC
rnacentral:rRNA from 1 species